AGGGUUUCCGCCCUUCAGUGCUGCAGCUAACGCAUUAAGCACUCCGCCUGGGGAGUACGACCGCAAGGUUGAAACUCAAAGGAAUUGACGGGGGCCCGCACAAGCGGUGGAGCAUGUGGUUUAAUUCGAAGCAACGCGAAGAACCUUACCAGGUCUUGACAUCCUUUGACCACUCUAGAGAUAGAGCUUCCCCUUCGGGGGCAAAGUGACAGGUGGUGCAUGGUUGUCGUCAGCUCGUGUCGUGAGAUGUUGGGUUAAGUCCCGCAACGAGCGCAACCCUUAUUGUUAGUUGCCAUCAUUUAGUUGGGCACUCUAGCAAGACUGCCGGUGACAAACCGGAGGAAGGUGGGGAUGACGUCAAAUCAUCAUGCCCCUUAUGACCUGGGCUACACACGUGCUACAAUGGGAAGUACAACGAGUCGCAAAGUCGCGAGGCUAAGCUAAUCUCUUAAAGCUUCUCUCAGUUCGGAUUGUAGGCUGCAACUCGCCUACAUGAAGCCGGAAUCGCUAGUA
rnacentral:rRNA from 1 species